rnacentral:rRNA from 1 species
GGGGCUUCGGCCCUGAGUAGAGUGGCAAACGGGUGAGUAACACGUGGGUGACCUGCCUUCGAGUGGGGGAUAACGUCCCGAAAGGGACGCUAAUACCGCAUGACAUCCUGCUCUUGGACGAGCGGAGAUCAAAGCUGGGGAUCGCAAGACCUGGCGCUUGAAGAGGGGCCCGCGCCUGAUUAGCUAGUUGGUGGGGUAAUGGCCUACCAAGGCAACGAUCAGUAUCCGGCCUGAGAGGGCGGACGGACACACUGGGACUGAGACACGGCCCAGACUCCUACGGGAGGCAGCAGUGGGGAAUUGUUCGCAAUGGGCGCAAGCCUGACGACGCAACGCCGCGUGGAGGAUGAAGAUCUUCGGGUCGUAAACUCCUGUCGAGCGGGACGAACACCUGCCGGUUUAACACGCCGGUAGGCUGACGGUACCGCUAAAGGAAGCCCCGGCUAACUCCGUGCCAGCAGCCGCGGUAAUACGGGGGGGGCAAGCGUUGUUCGGAAUUACUGGGCGUAAAGGGCUCGUAGGCGGCCAACUAAGUCAGACGUGAAAUCCCCAGGCUCAACCUGGGAACUGCGCCUGAUACUGGAUGGCUUGAAUCCGGGAGAGGGAUGCAGAAUUCCAGGUGUAGCGGUGAAAUGCGUAGAUAUCUGGAGGAAUACCGGUGGCGAAGGCGGUAUCCUGGACCGGCAUUGACGCUGAUGAGCGAAAGCCAGGGGAGCAAACGGGAUUAGAUACCCCGGUAGUCCUGGCCCUAAACGAUGAAUGCUUGGUGUGACGGGUAUCGAUCCCUGUCGUGCCGAAGCUAACGCAUUAAGC